rnacentral:rRNA from 1 species
AGAGUUUGAUCCUGGCUCAGAUUGAACGCUGGCGGCAUGCUUUACACAUGCAAGUCGAACGGCAGCAUAGGUGCUUGCACCUGAUGGCGAGUGGCGGACGGGUGAGUAAUGCAUCGGGACGUGUCCGGAAGAGGGGGAUAACUGUUCGAAAGAACAGCUAAUACCGCAUAAUAUCCGAGGAAGAAAGCUGGGGACCUUAGGGCCUGGCGCUUACGGGGCGACCGAUGUCUGAUUAGCUAGUUGGUGGGGUAAAAGCCUACCAAGGCGACGAUCAGUAGCUGGUCUGAGAGGACGACCAGCCACACUGGGACUGAGAAACGGCCCAGACUCCUACGGGAGGCAGCAGUGGGGAAUUUUGGACAAUGGGGGCAACCCUGAUCCAGCAAUGCCGCGUGUCUGAAGAAGGCCUUCGGGUUGUAAAGGACUUUUGUUGGGGAGCAAGGUGCACAGGUUAAGAGCUAGUGUACUUGAGAGUACCCAAAGAAUAAGGACCGGCUAACUACGUGCCAGCAGCCGCGGUAAUACGUAGGGUCCAAGCGUUAAUCGGAAUUACUGGGCGUAAAGAGUGCGCAGGCGGCUUUGUAAGCUUGAUGUGGAAUCCCCGGGCUCAACCUGGGAACUGCAUUGAGGACUGCAAGGCUAGAGUGUAGCAGAGGGGGGUAGAAUUCCACGUGUAGCAGUGAAAUGCGUAGAGAUGUGGAGGAAUACCGAUGGCGAAGGCAGCCCCCUGGGUUAACACUGACGCUCAUGCACGAAAGCGUGGGGAGCAAACAGGAUUAGAUACCCUGGUAGUCC